UACAGAGGUCUCGAGCGUUAGGCGGAAUCACUGGGCUUAAAGCGUGUGUAGGCGGAUUGGUAAGUACCUUGUGAAAUCCCACGGCUCAACCGUGGAACUGCUCGGUAUACUGCCUGUCUUGUGCAACCUAGGGGCGAGCGGAACAGAUGGUGGAGCGGUGAAAUGCGCAGAUAUCAGGAGGAACACCAAUGGCGAAGGCAGCUCGCUGGGACGGUACUGACGCUGAGACGCGAAAGCGUGGGGAGCAAACAGG
rnacentral:rRNA from 1 species